rnacentral:misc_RNA from 1 species
CGACUUUCUCCCCGCUCGAGCGGUCUGGACGAGCUUGACUGGCUGCUGCGUGCUCUCUCUUGGGUUUAUCGACUAGCGCCUGUUUCCCCACCCGCCUCGGCACUCGCACGCGAAAUCACCGGUGAAACGUGAUCAGACAGAGAAGCCCGACGUAGCGUCUUUCGAGCAGUACAACCGCACGAAGGCCAGCAGAGACCACUUCUCUUGACGCCACGCCUUGUCCGACCCCGCCCGUCAGCCGCGACAAACCCCGUUCUCCUCCCUGAACCCACCCACCCCGAC